UACAGAGGUCCCAAGCGUUGUUCGGAAUUACUGGGCGUAAAGGGCUCGUAGGUGGCCAACUAAGUCAGACGUGAAAUCCCCAGGCUCAACUUGGGAACUGCGUCUGAUACUGGAUGGCUUGAAUUCGGGAGAGGGAUGCAGAAUUCCAGGUGUAGCGGUGAAAUGCGUAGAUAUGCGGAGGAACACCGAUGGCGAAGGCAAUCCCCUGGGCCUGCACUGACGCUCAUGCACGAAAGCGUGGGGAGCAAACAGG
rnacentral:rRNA from 1 species